rnacentral:precursor_RNA from 8 species
UUUGGAUGGACUGACAUACUUGUUCCGCUGUAGCAGCACGUAAAUAUUGGCGUAGUAAAAUAAAUAUUAAACACCAAUAUUAUUGUGCUGCUUUAGCGUGACAGGGACAUAGCAACUAUUUAUCA